rnacentral:misc_RNA from 1 species
AAAAAUCACUAACAAAAACUAGAGAUUCAGAAUCCCCUUUUAUAGAUAAUUCAAUUAUCAUCAACUUAAAAAAAGGCAGAUGAUGAUAUUAGAAAUCUAUUUGAAUUAAAAUUCUGUUGCUAUUCCAUCCAUAUGUAUAAUUUUAAAAUAAAUUCUUAAAUGGAUUCAACAAUUACUUGUGUAUUGCGAAAUUACAACUAGUAUAUAUAAAAUAUCCGAGCUAAAUAGUUUUUCUAUUUAAUAUCUCUUAUUAAAUAUUGGCUAAUGGAAGAUAAAAAUGUAGAUGCUUUCAAAAAUGACGAAUAUAUAAUAUGAUCUUACAGAAAGAUGACUGAAUGUGUUAGCUAAAGCUCAGAGAUCUUUUGUAAAUUUUCCCAUGAGUGUGUCAUAAAAAGCUCAUAUAAUGAAAAUUUGUCUAAUGCAUUUUUCAGUUUUAUUUACUCCUUUUGCCUCCUAGUGUGAGUUCUAAUGUACAGAAUAUUGACCUAGAUUGAAUUAUUUCUAUUGAGGGAGAGCAUUUGGUCGGUUCGGUUCCAAAUUGAACCAAAAUCAAAAAACCAAAUCACCUAAAAAUUAGGACUGAACUGAACCAAUAAUAAAGGAAUAAGUGAACCAAGCCAAACCGAUAAAUAUCGGUUCGAUUUGGUUUGGUUUAAAGCAAAUCGAACUUAUAAAAAAAUUCAACUUCAACAUGUUGUGAUACAUAAAAAUCAAUCUCCAUGAUCACAUAUUUGAAUCAAAAUUCAUUCAAAUACAUAAAAAUUCAUAUAAUAAUAAAGUAUUACGAAUGAGGCCUAAAUAUUGCAGAAUUAAAUCAAUAUAAAAUAAAGCAUUUUCAAAGCAAGCAAAUCAGUAGUUCUUUCUUAUUGGGGUUGUUAAGACUAAUAGUCCCCAUAUUAUCAUUUCAUAGCUUGAACGGGCACAAUAUACAUUCCAUUUUGUCUAAUAGAAUAUGUAUGAGCAAGAAUUUUAUGAUUUUCA